rnacentral:antisense_RNA from 1 species
ACUAGACGACUGCUUUGGGCUGAACAUCCUUCUGAUCCAAACAUCCUUUAUAGGGAUAUUCAUUGGAGACCUAACGCUGCUUUAGAAGUGAUUUUUUAAAAAAAUUCCCAUUUUGUUUUAUUUUAUUGACUUAUGGGAGAGUAAUUUUCUUCUUUGAAUUUUGGGAAUGGGGUCCUUCUGGGGUGAUCUCCUGUCAAGUGUGAGCUGGCACAGGAGUUCGGAGGAACAGCUGGUUGCUACACCUCCCCUUCCCCUAAAGAGAACAAAGGCUCAGGCCCUCUUUGACCACCAGGUGCCAAGACACACCUGAUCAGCAUUCUGGACGUAGGCACUCCCCAUCACCCCUUACUUACAGAAUGGGCCACAGGAUGAAGGGUAUGUAUCUAUGAAUGGCAAAGCUGUACAGUAAGAUGAAGAAGCUGAAGAUGGAUAUCUCCAUGGUGAUGAUAAGCCUCAAGAUGGGGUGCACGGUGAGUGAGGACAACAGUAUCAUUGCCGCUAUUAGGCAGCCCUGCAGUGAGACAUAGACACCUGAGCCAGCAGCAAGGGCCU